rnacentral:lncRNA from 1 species
UAAUGUUGACCUCAUAAAACGAGUUGGAGAGUACUCCUUUCUCUUUCAUCUUCAGGAAGAGACUCUGUAGAAUUGCCAUUAUUUCUUCCUGACAUGUUUGUUGGAAUUCACUAGGAAAGUCAUCUGGAUUGGCAGUUUUAUUUUUUGGAAGCUGCUGCUGCAAUGAUCAGUUCUGCUAGCUCUAUGAAACUUCCUGCCAGUACCACCUGAGCAACUGAUUUCGUUUCUUGCCUCCCACCAAGGAGUGUCUCUGUUGGCACCAUGUGGGAAGCCAUAGGAACCCACUCAGCUUGCAGUCUAGGCAUGCAUAUUCCAAAAGACCAAGGCAGUUAACAACUCAUGAGGUGAACUAUGACCAUUGAAAGACAGAAACAAGUAGAAAGUUCUUUCUCCUCUUUGGCCCCAGAGAAAUGGUCCUGAAAUACAUCUUCAUAAAAUAGAGCAACCAGUUACCUACAGCAGUGGCCAGCUGGUAAUGUUUCCCUUUAUUUGACUUUCUUUCCAUGUCGUCUAUUCCUCAUGAUUCCUUACUUCUGUUCUCUGGACUCACACUCAGCAAGCAGCAUAAUCACCUAGAAGCCUUUGUCCAGAGUCUGCUUUUCUGGGAACCUAUGCUGUGACAUCACACUUUUGCUACAAUGUGGGCAGGAAUGCACAAAAAUAAAUAAAUAAAUAAAUAAAAUUUUAAAAUCCGUGAUUAAAAAACAUAAGGAGAUAGUGAAUUGGCUUUUCUCUAGGAAGGUAAAUAUGAAGAAAGUAAGUAUGUGGUCGUAAGAGGAUUUAAAAAUUAUACUAGAUUUUAUUUGAUAUGGAAUCUUUUUGCCAAACCUGCCAAUGAUUUGAAAGACUUUUCUAUGUAAUCGCCAUGGUCCUGUAUUCCCUUGGGUGCUGGCCUGGUCUUAGCGAGUAAAACUGCAUAGAAAUCACAAGGGGGAUUAAAAUCACAACAGCCAAAUUAACCCAAGCUGACCAUAUUGCUCUGUGCCCUAGGAAAGGUGCUGGAAGCUGGGAAACACUGAUGGAAAAUAACCAAGAAGCUAAGGAGAGAGAUGUUAUUUUUGAACUUUUAAAGAGAACAUUAUAAAUAGCAGAGAAAAUGGAAAAGCAGAAAUUAAAAACAAUAAAAACAAAAGCAAGUUGACAGCAGCUCUUUUAAUAUGACAAUUUUGGUGCUUCUAAGGCCCAGGCUUAGGAACAUAAUAGCAGAGUCCCAGUGAAAUGGCCAAGGACCAUGGGGUUUGAGCACUUAGUCACAAUGGCAUUUUAGGUUAAACAAUCAUUGACUCAGCAGUGAAAAAUGAGAUAAAUUAAAAUUAUUUUCUUCACAACGGCCGAGGGGCUUGGCAAGUAAUAUAUUGAAGAAAUUUCCUGGACAUAAUAGGUUACAUUAAUUUUCAACUGCAGAACAAUUCCUUCAGCAGUAUUUUUCAAGGAGAGAGAAAAGAAGGGGGGAGAAAACCACCCUGUUACUUGUGCUAUUUACUUCUGGCCUAAAUGAGAAAACAUGUUUCAAAGGGAAGAUUAAGAAAGGCGUAUCAAGA